GGGGGGGCUUAACAUGCAGUCGAGCGAGCUUGCCUAGAUGAUUUUAGUGCUUGCACUAAAUGAAACUAGAUACAAGCGCAGUGGCGGACGGGUGAGUAACACGUGGGUAACCUGCCCAAGAGACUGGGAUAACACCUGGAAACAGAUGCUAAUACCGGAUAACAACACUAGACGCAUGUCUAGAGUUUGAAAGAUGGUUCUGCUAUCACUCUUGGAUGGACCUGCGGUGCAUUAGCUAGUUGGUAAGGUAACGGCUUACCAAGGCAAUGAUGCAUAGCCGAGUUGAGAGACUGAUCGGCCACAUUGGGACUGAGACACGGCCCAAACUCCUACGGGAGGCAGCAGUAGGGAAUCUUCCACAAUGGACGAAAGUCUGAUGGAGCAACGCCGCGUGAGUGAAGAAGGGUUUCGGCUCGUAAAGCUCUGUUGGUAGUGAAGAAAGAUAGAGGUAGUAACUGGCCUUUAUUUGACGGUAAUUACUUAGAAAGUCACGGCUAACUACGUGCCAGCAGCCUCGGUAAUACGUAGGUGGCAAGCGUUGUCCGGAUUUAUUGGGCGUAAAGCGAGUGCAGGCGGUUCAAUAAGUCUGAUGUGAAAGCCUUCGGCUCAACCGGAGAAUUGCAUCAGAAACUGUUGAACUUGAGUGCAGAAGAGGAGAGUGGAACUCCAUGUGUAGCGGUGGAAUGCGUAGAUAUAUGGAAGAACACCAGUGGCGAAGGCGGCUCUCUGGUCUGCAACUGACGCUGAGGC
rnacentral:rRNA from 1 species